AGCGUGUUUGCAAAAUUCUUGGUGGGAAUCUGGCCUCCAUCCACAACUACCUGGAAAAUGUGGCUGUUGCAGGACUGAUUAAAGACGGAGGCGCCGACUUUGCCUGGAUUGGCCUCCAUGAUGCGAUUGAGAAAGGACACUAUUUUUGGACUGACGGCAAAGACUUUGAUUUCGAUAACUUUGCCCUCGGCAAGCCUGACGGCACCGGUGCCUGUGUUGAGCUUUAUGCACCUGAUCAAACAUUUUUCGAUGAGGACUGCACCGUAUACCACCCCUAUGUUUGCGCCAGAGAUACCUACUACUGUGGCAGCCACUAGUCAGACCUCUUAGCGUCAUCUUCUACAACAACAUCUUUCACUAAAUCAC